rnacentral:lncRNA from 1 species
AAUAUCUUGGAUUUAUGGAUUUUAAAAGAAGCUCAAUUGGACGGUAUGUUCAGUGGAUCGAUAACACUGGCACAAGAGCAACUUUUUUUUCCCUUUUGUGGAAUACUUUUACACAUGCUAUUGCAGCUGAUAUAGUGGGCAGCUUUCUUCACCAUGGUCAACUUACGAUUAAACGGAUGGAAUUGUUAUCAUGCUUCUAUCCACCUAACAAUGCUGAUGGAUCUCGUAAUCAUUCAUUCCAGCUUCAUGGUUGCCAACAAUCCUGCAUUUCUUUAUCUUAAAAUUUCCCCCUCUCGAACUUUUGUUACCUUUAAAGAAUCAACUAUUGCUUUCACCUUACUAGAAUUUGGAGCAUCCAUGAAGAAUGUAGCAUGGUUACUGGGUGAGUAGAAAAGAAGUUGGAUGGCAGAUUGACAGGAAUAUUUUGUAAUCUCUGCUGUCUAGAAGAGUGUGUUUAAUACCGAUCAGUUACCUUGGUUUUUGGAGCUUCAGACCACAACGUGCUCUGUCAAAUGGAGUGUGUGGAUUUACUUGUGAGUCAUUUUCAUUUGUUUUCAUAACCUCAUCCUUUCACCUCUUCUUUUUGUUUAUUGGAGGUUAUGACUACAAAGUACUUUGUCAAAUAUUGUAUCUAUAGAUUUACUUGGCAGGCGCUUGCAUUUGUUUCCAUUUCAUACUUUUCCCUCCUAUAUUUCUCUCAUUUGAUUGGUAUUAUACUUGUUACAGUUUGUUGGGAGAUCAUAUCUGUUGUAUGGUAUUCGUUUUCAG